AGGUUUAUAUUUCGGUGGUAAAGCAAUUGAUUGCAGAUCAAUAAGUCACCGUUUUAAAUCCGAUUAAAUCUU
rnacentral:tRNA from 1 species